UCGGGAAUUUUGGGCAAUGGGCGAAAGCCUGAUGGAGCGACGUCGCGUGAUGGACGAAGUGCUUCGGCACGUAAACAUCUUUUAUGUGGGAUGAAAUUAUUGACAGUACCACAUGAAUAAGGGGCUCCUAACUCUGUGCCAGCAGGAGCGGUAAUACAGAGGCCCCAAGCGUUAUCCGGAAUCACUGGGCGUAAAGGGUGUCGAGGCGGUUGUAUUAGUCGUUCGUAAAAUCUACGAGCUUAACUUGUAGGCGGCGAACGAAACGGUACGACUUGAGGUUUGGAGAGGUGCGUGGAACUCACGGUGUAGGGGUGAAAUCCGUUGAUAUCGUGGGGAACACCAAAGGCGAAGGCAGCGCACUGGCCAAAAUCUGACGCUCACACACGAAAGCUAGGGUAGCGAAGAGGAUUAGAUACCCUGGUAGUCCCUGAGCGGGCUGGCAAGGCGCAU
rnacentral:rRNA from 1 species